rnacentral:misc_RNA from 1 species
AAGUCGUAACAAGGUUUCCGUAGGUGAACCUGCGGAAGGAUAACAUCCAACGCCCCCGUGAACGUACAUUCCUUCUCCGCUUACAGAAAAUUGGUUGCAAUCCCUGGUCUUCUAACACGUAAGUGUUUAACCCAGAGGAAAGUAGACGAGAGUUCGACUAUCCCAAGGUGUUGAGUGCGCUUUCGAUUUUGAACGUAAUCAGGGGGUUGUGAAGGUGUUCAACCUGAUUAUUUUUAUCUUUGGACUGCUUUAACGAGCGGGUAUCGGAUCCUGGGCGUCGUUCCUCUAGGAACGAGUACACGUCCCUCUUCCCUUGAAACGACAGGGUGUCGCGAAAACGUGGUAAGGCAUGAUUUUACUUCCGAAAGGUCAAGUACUAACUGAACAACUGUUAACAAUGGGUUCUC